UUAAACUGGUUAGAUUAACGCUGGCGGCAGGCCUAACACAUGCAAGUCGAACGGUAACAGGAAGCAGCUUGCUGCUUCGCUGAUGAGUGGCGGACGGGUGAGUAAUGUCUGGGAAUCUGCCUGAUGGAGGGGGAUAACUACUGGAAACGGUAGCUAAUACCGCAUAACGUCGCAAGACCAAAGAGGGGGACCUUCGGGCCUCUUGCCAUCGGAUGUGCCCAGAUGGGAUUAGCUAGUAGGUGGGGUAACGGCUCACCUAGGCGACGAUCCCUAGCUGGUCUGAGAGGAUGACCAGCCACACUGGAACUGAGACACGGUCCAGACUCCUACGGGAGGCAGCAGUGGGGAAUAUUGCACAAUGGGCGCAAGCCUGAUGCAGCCAUGCCGCGUGUAUGAAGAAGGCCUUCGGGUUGUAAAGUACUUUCAGCGGGGAGGAAGGUGAUAAGGUUAAUAACCUCAUCAAUUGACGUUACCCGCAGAAGAAGCACCGGCUAACUCCGUGCCAGCAGCCGCGGUAAUACGGAGGGUGCAAGCGUUAAUCGGAAUUACUGGGCGUAAAGCGCACGCAGGCGGUCUGUCAAGUCGGAUGUGAAAUCCCCGGGCUCAACCUGGGAACUGCAUUCGAAACUGGCAGGCUAGAGUCUUGUAGAGGGGGGUAGAAUUCCAGGUGUAGCGGUGAAAUGCGUAGAGAUCUGGAGGAAUACCGGUGGCGAAGGCGGCCCCCUGGACAAAGACUGACGCUCAGGUGCGAAAGCGUGGGGAGCAAACAGGAUUAGAUACCCUGGUAGUCCACGCCGUAAACGAUGUCGACUUGGAGGUUGUGCUCCUUGAGGACGUGGCUUCCGGAGCUAACGCGUUAAUUCGACCGCCUGGGGAGUACGGCCGCAAGGUUAAAACUCAAAUGAAUUGACGGGGGCCCGCACAAGCGGUGGAGCAUGUGGUUUAAUUCGAUGCAACGCGAAGAACCUUACCUACUCUUGACAUCCAGAGAACUUUCCAGAGAUGGAUUGGUGCCUUCGGGAACUCUGAGACAGGUGCUGCAUGGCUGUCGUCAGCUCGUGUUGUGAAAUGUUGGGUUAAGUCCCGCAACGAGCGCAACCCUUAUCCUUUGUUGCCAGCGGUCCGGCCGGGAACUCAAAGGAGACUGCCAGUGAUAAACUGGAGGAAGGUGGGGAUGACGUCAAGUCAUCAUGGCCCUUACGAGUAGGGCUACACACGUGCUACAAUGGCGCAUACAAAGAGAAGCGACCUCGCGAGAGCGAGCGGACCUCAUAAAGUGCGUCGUAAUCCGGAUUGGAGUCUGCAACUCGACUCCAUGAAGUCGGAAUCGCUAGUAAUCGUGGAUCAGAAUGCCACGGUGAAUACGUUCCCGGGCCUUGUACACACCGCCCGUCACACCAUGGGAGUGGGUUGCAAAAGAAGUAGGUAGCUUAACCUUCGGGAGGGCGCUUACCACUUUGUGAUUCAUGACUGGGGUGAAGUCUAAAGGGGGGUACCAAAAGGGUUGGGACCAUCAUUUUGGCCGCUGGGGGGGGUGUUUUUGCCAA
rnacentral:rRNA from 1 species